ensembl:lncRNA
GAUAUUUUCCCCAUGGUGCUGAAUUUAUCUGGUGCUUCCAUACCCAGCGACAGAGUCAUUGAUGGUCAUGAUCUCUUUCCUCUGCUGCAAGGGCAAGUGAAGCGUUCUGAACAUGAAUUUAUGCCCAACUGAAUGCCAUCAGAUGGCACCCACCUAACAGUGAUGCAAUCUGGAAGGUCUUUUUCUUUACCUCGAUUUCUACCCAGAGAACAGCUCUGCCUGCUUCAACACUCAUAUCUGCUUCUGCAUCAAGCCAUGACCCUCCGCUGCUUUAUGACCUGUCAAGAGACCCGUCAGAAAGCACCCCCCUGAGUCCAGACACCGAGCCCCAGUUCUGCUAAGUUCUGGAGGUCAUAAGGGCAGCAGUAAGCUGUCAUUCACAGAGUCUGAAGCCUGUUCCACUUCAAGUUUCUCCUCUGCAAAUAGUAUGGAAGCCCUGGCUCCAGCUCUGCUGCUCAUCUCUCAGUCAGCUUUGCACAUGUGAACGAGAUCAUCAGAUAGAGAAGCUUUGAAACGAGCUUCAAAAAGAAUAGUCAGUAGGUCUCUGCAGGACAGUAAUGGGAGUUACGAAAUUGGUGG